AGAUUGAACGCUGGCGGCAUGCCUAACACAUGCAAGUCGAACGGGAGUAGCAAUACUCUAGUGGCGGACGGGUGAGGAAUACGUAGGAAUUUGCCCUUAAGUGGGGGAUAACCCGGGGAAACCCGGAUUAAUACCGCAUGACCUCGAAAGAGCAAAGUGGGGGAUCGCAAGACCUCACGCUUUUGGAGAAGCCUACGUCGGAUUAGCUAGUUGGUGAGGUAAUGGCUCACCAAGGCGACGAUCCGUAACUGGUCUGAGAGGAUGAUCAGUCACACCGGAACUGAGACACGGUCCGGACUCCUACGGGAGGCAGCAGUGGGGAAUAUUGGACAAUGGGCGCAAGCCUGAUCCAGCAAUGCCGCGUGUGUGAAGAAGGCCUUCGGUGUAAGCACUUUAAGUUGGGAAGAAAAACGUCGACUCUAAACACAGUGAGUCUUGACGGUACCGUACGAAGAAUAAGCAACCGGCUAACUCU
rnacentral:rRNA from 1 species